rnacentral:lncRNA from 1 species
UUUUUAGCGAUACACUUAUUCAGCUUUUGAAUCUUCUUUCUUCGUGUUUUAUGUUAUUCCAUUCUCAACCACACUUCCCAGCCUAUUCACUAUAUUUUGCCAUGCAGAGUUUAUUUGGAGUUUCAGAGAGCUGAGUGGAAAAGUCUGACACUAAGGAUGAAGAGAGGCUGUUCAAUCUGGUAUAUUAGCAAAUAGGUGCAGUGAUAGCAUCUGAAGUUUAGACCUCAGAAAUUGAGGCACGAGGGAAAAACUAUUCCAGAACCAACACAUGCACACUGAGCAGCAGCCAGGGAACUGACUGAUUUUAGAGCCGGGAAACCGUCGGUUUCUGCUGUUUAAGUCACCAUUAACCAGAGCCCGGAAAAUGAGGCCUUUGCUUUCCGCCCUUUGCUUUCCUCUUGGUGCUGAGACGGAUCACUGGGCAGCCACCAUCAAUAACGCCUCCUGCCUAUUUAAAACUGAAUCACUCUUCGGAGGGUUCUAUCCGCUGUUAACAUCAAACAAAUCUGCUGUCGGAUAGCCAGCGAGUCUCUCGCAUGAUCCAACUCAUCUCCUCUAGGUCGAAGGAUUGCAUUUUAGGGGCCAAUUUGAAUGUAGUAUAUAUUAUACUAAAAUGUCACUUCUGGUCCAGUCAAAAAGUGAGUGCAGCUUGAAAGAAUUGCUCACCUGGUCCUGUGUGUUACUAAC